rnacentral:rRNA from 1 species
GACGAACGCUGGCGGCGUGCUUAACACAUGCAAGUCGAACGGAAAGGCCUGUCCUUCCUUGUGUUGGACGGGUACUCGAGUGGCGAACGGGUGAGUAACACGUGAGUGAUCUGCCCCCAACUUGGGUAUAAGCCUGGGAAACUGGGUCUAAUUCCCGAUAGGACUGCAGGGUGGUGCCUGUGGUGGAAAACGAUUUUCUAGUGGUUGGGGAUGAGCUCGCGGCCUAUCAGCUUGUUGGUGGGGUAAUGGCCUACCAAGGCGGCGACGGGUAGCCGGCCUGGGAGGGUGGACGGCCACAUUGGGACUGAGAUACGGCCCAGACUCCUACGGGAGGCAGCAGUGGGGAAUAUUGCACAAUGGGCGGAAGCCUGAUGCAGCGACGCCGCGUGGGGAUGACGGCCUUCGGGUUGUAAACUCCUUUCGACCGCGAGGAAGCCGCCUGGUUGGAAGGGUGGUGACGGUAGUGGUAGAAGAAGCACCGGCUAACUACGUG